GGAGCUGUGAUCGGUCCGUUUGUGGGCGGUCUGCUGCCCGCAGGCGGCUUAGGGGUUCAAGUCCCCUGGGCUCCACCA
rnacentral:tRNA from 1 species